rnacentral:rRNA from 2 species
UACGUAGGUCCCGAGCGUUGUCCGGAUUUAUUGGGCGUAAGCGAGCGCAGGUGGUUUAUUAAGUCUGGUGUAAAAGGCAGUGGCUCAACCAUUGUAUGCAUUGGAAACUGGUAGACUUGAGUGCAGGAGAGGAGAGUGGAAUUCCAUGUGUAGCGGUGAAAUGCGUAGAUAUAUGGAGGAACACCGGUGGCGAAAGCGGCUCUCUGGCCUGUAACUGACACUGAGGCUCGAAAGCGUGGGGAGCAAACAGG